rnacentral:sRNA from 1 species
UGUGUUUCGUAAUUGUUUGUUGCCCGCAUAAUUAUAAAACAUAAAAUAAAUAUUUCAUUGGUUAUUUUAAUUGUUUAUGAUGUCUGUGGAUAGCCCAUACCAUUAUGACUUAUUAAAUAAAUUUGAGCAUAAAUUGAUGUUUGCAUAAGCGUUGCUGUUGAGCAUUUCUAAAAAGUUGUUCCCGAACGAAGAAACACACGACUUUGAAGGCAAAAAUUCCAAAGUUUUAAUCAACAGUAAAAAAAGUAAAUUUUUUUGUGUUCACAAUUAAUGUCAUGUGCAUGAAUGACGAAGAAUAAUCGAAAUUCUGGUUGUUGACCGGCCAACCCACCGACCGAUUGAUCGGUCUUUAUGAUGUCGUCUUAUUAUUCCAUAACAACCAAAUACGACGGUUGUUAUCUUUGUUAAACCUUAUCAAUUGGCAAUAAUUCAAAUCACAUUUUCAUUUCAACAACCAACAUGUCAAAAAAACGAAGUGACAUUGUUCUCAAGAACGAAACGUGUUAGUUUGGAGAGGAGCCCCUCCGCUGGAGGAAUGGUCAGUCAUGUUGACACAAAAUCAGCCUGCUGUAUUAAAAUUACCAAAUUACUGAAACAUGAUAUGAGAGUCCGCGUGUCAGAAACAAGUGUAUUAUCAUGGCAAUGAGCUUAAGACAGCAAUGGGCCCACAGUCAUAUGUAUUCGUGUUGCAUGUAUUGUUCGCAAUGUAUGUACAUAUAUAUUGUAUAUAUAUGUAGUGCAAUUGUUCCAUUCUUAAGAACUAAUGAAAACAAAAUUCAAAUACCCGCCACAUUUUUUAGUAAAGAAAGAAACAAAAUGACUUGUUCAAUAAUAAUGAAGAUCUGCUUUCAUCGACACUUA